UCAACUUCCUUCGUUUCACUGGUUCAAUAUCUCAAUGGUGUAGGUUGGUCCCUUGCGCUGCUGGCCAGGUGGAUUAUGUCUUUCUACGUCAAUUGGAGAUACAGAUGUUGGAGAAUUUAUUGUUCCAAUACUGCAUGUCAAGCAAAGUGAAGCUAUCAAGUGCUGGGGGAAGGCUCAUUGUUGCUUCUGAUGGUAUCUGGGAUGCAUUAUAGUCUGAUGUGGCUGCAAAGUGUAGUCGUGGUUUACCUGCUGAGCUUGCUGCCAAGUUGGUGGUUAAGGAGGCUCUAAGGUCAAGGGGGCUGAAGGACGAUAAAACAUGCCUUGCUGUUGAUAUUAUCCCAUCUGACGUUCCUGUCUUACCUUCUAUACCAAGGAAGACACAAAACAUGCUUAGGUCACUUCUGUUUGGAAAGAAAUCUCUAAAUUCUGUUAGCAAAGCAACAAAUAAGCUUUCUGCUGUUGGAGUGGUAGGGGAGUUGUUUGAAGAGGUUUCUGCUAUGCUUGCAGAAAGGUUGGGUAAAGAUUUUCCUUCAAACACAAACUCUAGGCUAUACAGAUGUGCCGUAUGCCAAAUCGAUCACACCCCCACUGACAGUUUAUCAGUAAACUCAGGGUCUUUUUUCUCUGCCCUAACUGUCGAAAAAAGAAAGACGCCAUGGAAGGGAAAAUACCGAGCAGACCUACAGUGACUGCACAGCAAAUCAUCUGGUAACAGAGUAAAUAUUUAUAUUUUUUGGCUGGAAGUGUGAGCAUGAAGCAUGCUUGGUUUUUGCUUUCUGGUACUGAUUGUAAUAGAUGUAUAAGAAAUGAGGUAGUGAUAUAGUGCCUAGGUGCUUUGUUUUACAAUUGGUUGUGUCAACUCUGGUUUUUUUCCAGCUUUGGUUAAACUGACAGAGGACAGAGAUGUCACCUGAUAGAUAUGUUUGUGAUAGUUCGAUUGCCAACAGCUUGAAGAUGUAAGUAAAAAUGAAGGUUGCAUAGUGAUGUGCUCAUCGCAGCAGCUUAUUUAUUGUGACCA